GGCCAGACUCCUACGGGAGGCAGCAGUGAGGAAUAUUGGUCAAUGGGCGCAAGCCUGAACCAGCCAAGUCGCGUGAGGGAUGACGGUCCUAUGGAUUGUAAACCUCUUUUGUCGGGGAGCAAAGCGCGGUACGAGUACCGUGAAGGAGAGUACCCGAAGAAAAAGCAUCGGCUAACUCCGUGCCAGCAGCCGCGGUAAUACGGAGGAUGCGAGCGUUAUCCGGAUUUAUUGGGUUUAAAGGGUGCGUAGGCGGGCUUUUAAGUCAGCGGUAAAAAUUCGGGGCUCAACCCCGUCCGGCCGUUGAAACUGGGGGCCUUGAGUGGGCGAGAAGAAGGCGGAAUGCGUGGUGUAGCGGUGAAAUGCAUAGAUAUCACGCAGAACCCCGAUUGCGAAGGCAGCCUUCCGGCGCCCUACUGACGCUGAGGCACGAAAGUGCGGGGAUCGAACAGGAUUAGAUACCCUAGUA
rnacentral:rRNA from 1 species